rnacentral:tRNA from 1 species
GGGCCCGUAGCUUAGUCUGGUAGAGUGCUCGACUGAUAAUCGAGUGGUCCGGAGUUCAAAACAAUUGUUUCGUCAAUUGGAACCGAAGUGCGACAUUCAGCUUCGCUGAAGUCCCACGAGCUCACUUCGUUCGCAUAAUCGAAACAUUUGGUGAAAAUCUCCGCGGGCCCA